AGACCUGAUGCAGACCUGUGGUUCUGUGAGUCAAAAGCCGCGUCAAAAAAGAUGGACUUAUUUGCCCUUUGUACCCUCUGUCUGGGCCUUGCGCUGACUUCUAAGGUGAUUACCCUUUCCUUGGUACCUUCCAGUUCUGAAAUGUAACUUUUAAUCUAUUUUGAUAUAUCCCAACUGGUGCUAUAUUUAUCUUCAUAUAGUAGCUUAUUCCUACUUGUCCAGAUUCCCCACAGCCCGCAACAAAAUCCCAAGCACUGUUCAUUCGUCCCUACGUUGAAGAUCCAGGAAAGCCAACUCCAUAAAUCAAAAUGGUUAUUGUUAAGUACCCA
rnacentral:lncRNA from 1 species